AAUGAAUGAAAUUGAGUGGGGUUGUAGCUGGCCUUUUACCGGGCAUGUGCACACCUCAUUCAACCACCAUCUAUACCUCUGUGCACUUCUCAUGAGUUGGGCUGCGUCUGAAAUACGACAAAGUCCGGCUUGUGUGCUUUAUACAAACAAAUUAUGUUAUAGAAUGUCACUAUCAUGCUUUAAAGCAUAUAAUACAACUUUCAACAACGGAUCUCUUGGCUCUACGCAUCGAUGAAGAACGCAGCGAAAUGCGAUAAGUAAUGUGAAUUGCAGAAUUCAGUGAAUCAUCGAAUCUUUGAACGCACCUUGCGCUCCUUGGUAUUCCGAGGAGCAUGCUUGUUUGAGUGUCAUGGUCUUCUCAACCCUCCUGUCUUUUUUAUUAAAGGCAGCCGGGCUUGGACUUGGAGGUUUUGCAGGCGUCCGAAUUUUUAAUUUGGAAGUCGGCUCCUCUGAAAUGCAUUAGCUUGAAUAGAACCAAGCAUGAUUCAGCGUGAUAAUUGUCUACGUUGCUUCAUCUCGGUGAAUUUAAUGUUCGAGCUUCUAACCGUCCCUCGGGACAAUCUCUGAACAUCUGACCUCAAAUCAGUAGGAC
rnacentral:rRNA from 1 species